GUUGAGUGUGGUGGCGUGCACUUGUAGUCCCAGCUACUUGGGAAGCUGAGACAGGAGGAUUACUUGAGCCCAGGAGAUUGAGGUUGUAGUGAGCCAAGAUUGUGCCACUGCCUUCCAGCCUGAGCGACAGAGUGAGACCCUGUUUCAA
rnacentral:SRP_RNA from 1 species